ensembl:snRNA U6 U6 spliceosomal RNA
GCGCUCGCUUGGGCAGCACAUGUACUAAACAGUGUAACGACACAGAGAAGCCUAGCAUGGCCCUGCGCAAGGAUGACACGCGAACUCGUGAGGUGUUGCAGAUUUUG